GGUGGCGAGCGGCGCACGGGUGCGUAACGCGUAUGCAACCUGCCUUAUACAGGGGGAUAGCCCAUGGAAACGUGGAUUAAUACCCCAUAACAUCAUGAAUUCGCAUGGAUUUAUGAUUAAAAUUUCGAUGGUAUAAGAUGGGCAUGCGUCUGAUUAGCUAGUUGGUGAGGUAACGGCUCACCAAGGCGACGAUCAGUAGGGGUUCUGAGAGGAUUAUCCCCCACACUGGUACUGAGACACGGACCAGACUCCUACGGGAGGCAGCAGUGAGGAAUAUUGGUCAAUGGGCGAGAGCCUGAACCAGCCAUCCCGCGUGCAGGAUGACGGCCCUAUGGGUUGUAAACUGCUUUUCUACGCCAAGAAACGGCCCUACGUGUAGGGCACUGACGGUAGCGUAGGAAUAAGCAUCGGCUAACUCCGUGCCAGCAGCCGCGGUAAUACGGAGGAUGCAAGCGUUAUCCGGAUUCAUUGGGUUUAAAGGGUGCGCAGGCGGGAAAGUAAGUCAGUGGUGAAAAACUGCCGCUCAACGGUAGUCGUGCCAUUGAUACUGCUUUUCUUGAGUUUGGAUGAGGUAGGCGGAAUGUGCAGUGUAGCGGUGAAAUGCAUAGAUAUUGCACAGAACACCAAUUGCGAAGGCAGCUUACUAAUCCACGACUGACGCUGAGGCACGAAAGCGUGGGGAGCGAACAGGAUUAGAUACCCUGGUAGUCCACGCCGUAAACGAUGUUCACUCGCUGUUU
rnacentral:rRNA from 1 species